UUUUUUUUUUUUUGAAAAUUUACCCCCAAAACGACAUCGUUUUGGAGGCUGCUGGGUAGGGCGGCCGAGAAUCCGAACUCUUCAAUCAACACACUGGUUGAGAAAAAUUCACCCCUUUUUCUUAAUUUUUUUUUUUGGUUCCCAUCUCUUUCACACUUGAUUUUUUAUUUUUAUUUUUAUUUUUUUAUAUAGCUUCAUUUCUCUAUUUCUUAACUGUUUCUCCAUACAUUGCCAAAAAAAAAACAAAGAGAGAAGAUUGAGGAACCUUCAAUACAAGACCCAGUACAUAAAUCAGUAUAAAAGUGUGAUUCACAGAUCUAUAGAUUUGAGACUUCCAUCACCAUAUAAAUUGUUCUAUUUCUUUCAGAUCGUCAUUGUUUCGGUUUGGUCAUACCGAUCGUCACCGAUAUUCCCUUCGCCAUCGGAGGAUUGGACUUUGGCAAAGAGAGAGGACUCGAUUGUAUGGAAGAGGCGGAGAUGAGAGAGAGAGAGAGAGAGAGAGAGAGAGGAGGCGAGGUAGCAGUGGCGGAGCCGUAGGGAGUCCGACGACGCUUCUUCCUCCGUUUCUCCAUCUUAUCUACGAAGUCGAUCUCAACAGUGCCGGAUGCAAAAUCGCAACGGCGACGCCAUCGCUGAUGGGUGGAGACGAAACGGCGACAAACGCAAGGGAGAGAGAGAGAGUGGGAGAGAGUAAAGGGAAGAGAGAGAUGAGUGAGAUUGUGAGGGUUACUAGGCUAUAUAUUGUCUGGCCGGCGCUUGCCUCCAGUCCACCCAUUGGGCGGUGGAUUCAGUCCGGCCCAUUAAGUUUAUUUUUGGAUCUCUUUUUAAUAAUUUAAAUUAUUUGAGUAUAUUAUUCUUGUAAAAAAUCACGUCGAUCGAAUAACGGAUAUUAUUAUCUAUUUAGAUCAUUUUUUUAUGAAUUGUUAAUUUUUUAA